rnacentral:rRNA from 1 species
CUUGUAGGCGGUUUGUCGCGUCUGCUGUGAAAAUCCGGGACUCAACCCCGGACUUGCAGUGGGUACGGGCAGACUAGAGUGUGGUAGGGGAGACUGGAAUUCCUGGUGUAGCGGUGAAAUGCGCAGAUAUCAGGAGGAACACCGAUGGCGAAGGCAGGUCUCUGGGCCACUACUGACGCUGAGAAGCGAAAGCAUGGGGAGCGAACA